rnacentral:rRNA from 1 species
UGGGGAAUUUUGGACAAUGGGCGCAAGCCUGAUCCAGCCAUGCCGCGUGCGGGAAGAAGGCCUUCGGGUUGUAAACCGCUUUUGUCAGGGAAGAAAUCUUCUGAGUUAAUACCUCGGGAGGAUGACGGUACCUGAAGAAUAAGCACCGGCUAACUACGUGCCAGCAGCCGCGGUAAUACGUAGGGUGCAAGCGUUAAUCGGAAUUACUGGGCGUAAAGCGUGCGCAGGCGGUUUUGUAAGACAGAGGUGAAAUCCCCGGGCUCAACCUGGGAACUGCCUUUGUGACUGCAAGGCUUGAGUGCGGCAGAGGGGGAUGGAAUUCCGCGUGUAGCAGUGAAAUGCGUAGAUAUGCGGAGGAACACCGAUGGCGAAGGCAAUCCCCUGGGCCUGCACUGACGCUCAUGCACGAAAGCGUGGGGAGCAAACAGGAUUAGAUACCCUGGUAGUCCACGCCCUAAACGAUGUCAACUGGUUGUUGGGAAGGUUCCUUCUCAGUAACGUAGCUAACGCGUGAAGUUGACCGCCUGGGGAGUACGGCCGCAAGGUUGAAACUUAAAUGAAUUGACGGGGUCAUAGCUGUUUUCC